UACCAGCACCCCGAGUGGUCGGGACGAUUAUUGGGCCUAAAGCAUCCGUAGCCGGUUCUACAAGUCUUCCGUUAAAUCCACCUGCUUAACAGUUGGGCUGCAGAGGAUACUAUAGAGCUAGGAGGCGGGAGAGGCAAGCGGUACUUAGUGGGUAGGGGUAAAAUCCGUUGAUCCGCUGAAGACCACCAGUGGCGAAGGCGGCUUGCCAGAACGCGCUCGACGGUGAGGGAUGAAAGCUGGGGGAGCAAACCGGAUUAGAAACC
rnacentral:rRNA from 1 species